UGAACAACACUCUAAAAGAACUUUACGC
rnacentral:sRNA from 1 species